CCCUUCGUGGUGUAAUGGUCAGCACGCUCUGCCCGUAUUCGAGAGGUCGGUGGUUCGAAUCCCGGCGAAGGCA
rnacentral:tRNA from 1 species